AUUGAACGCUGGCGGCAUGCCUUACACAUGCAAGUCGAACGGCAGCACGGGAGCAAUCCUGGUGGCGAGUGGCGAACGGGUGAGUAAUAUAUCGGAACGUGCCCAGUCGUGGGGAUAACGUAGCGAAAGCUACGCUAAUACCGCAUACGAUCUAUGGAUGAAAGCGGGGGGAUCGCAAGACCUCGCGCGAUUGGAGCGGCCGAUAUCAGAUUAGGUAGUUGGUGAGGUAAAGGCUCACCAAGCCGACGAUCUGUAGCUGGUCUGAGAGGACGACCAGCCACACUGGGACUGAGACACGGCCCAGACUCCUACGGAGGCAGCAGUGGGAAUUUUGGACAAUGGGCGCAAGCCUGAUCCAGCAAUGCCGCGUGCAGGAUGAAGG
rnacentral:rRNA from 1 species